ACCACCACAACAAAAAAAAAAAACCACUUUUCUCCCCCCCACCCCUGCAAAAGCCACAAAAGCCAUAUUUAUCCCAGUAAGCCAGUAUCCAUCUUCCAUAUAAUUGCUCACUACCAUAAUCUUUCAAGAAUCUAAAAAAAUGGUGCAAAACCAGAAAAACAAUUUGUAUUUUGUGAUUUUGCACCUUCAUUUGGAUUCAUGAAUGCUUCCUCAAUCAGCACCUACUUUUGGAUAUCCCUCCCUUGUACCAUAAUUUUAAUGGGUGUUGAAUUG
rnacentral:misc_RNA from 1 species